UGCCAGCCGCCGCGGUAAUACGUAGGGUGCGAGCGUUAAUCGGAAUUACUGGGCGUAAAGCGUGCGCAGGCGGUUUGGCAAGUCAGAUGUGAAAUCCCCGAGCUCAACUUGGGAACUGCGUUUGAAGCUGCCAGACUAGAAUAUGUCAGAGGGGGGUAGAAUUCCACGUGUAGCAGUGAAAUGCGUAGAGAUGUGGAGGAAUACCAAUGGCGAAGGCAGCCCCCUGGGAUAAUAUUGACGCUCAUGCACGAAAGCGUGGGGAGCAAACAGGAUUAGAUACCCUGGUAGUCCACGCCCUAAACGAUGUCUACUAGUUGUUGGUGGAGUAAAAAUCCAUGAGUAACGCAGCUAACGCGUGAAGUAGACCGCCUGGGGAGUACGGUCGCAAGAUUAAAACUCAAAUGAAUUGGC
rnacentral:rRNA from 1 species